UACGGAGGGUGCGAGCGUUGUCCGGAAUCAUUGGGCGUAAAGGGCGCGUAGGUGGCCCGGUCAGUUCGUGGUGAAAGCGCGUGGCUCAACCCUGCGUCGGCCAUGAAUACUGCCGCGGCUGGAGCACUGUAGAGGCAGGCGGAAUUCCGGGUGUAGCGGUGAAAUGCGUAGAUAUCUGGAGGAACAUCGGUGGCGAAGGCGGCAUCCUGGACCGACACUGACGCUGAGGAGCGAAAGCCAGGGGAGCAAACGGG
rnacentral:rRNA from 1 species